UAUACUGGUUUAUACUGGUUUAUACUGGCAGUGCGCUCCGAAGAUUCAGGACCCGCUGGGAACGACUGUUGGGGUCACUGGUUUAUACUGGUUUGUACUGGUUUAUACUGGUUUAUACUGGUUUGUACUGGGGGAGCGCUCCCGAAGCCCCGGGACGCACUGGGAAUGAUUUAAGGCAUACUGGUUUGUACUGGUUUAUACUGGGAGGGCGCUCAGGACACUGCGGGCCCCACUGGGAACCAUUCUGGGUGGUUCCGCUCUUACUGGUUUGUACUGGUUUGUACUGGGAAGUGUUCCGGGGUUGCCACAUAGUGAUCCAUUGUUCCGCCCAUAGUGCCAAAUAGUGAGCCAAAGGGGCGGGGCCUGUGUUGGCCACGCCCCUUUCCCCACUGGCCACGCCCCUUCCUCCGAUGGCCACGCCCCUUUUACGCUCCGCCGGCACUGGGAGUUACUGGGAGUUACUGGGAGCUACUGGGAGCCCCCGAGGAGGUACUGGGAGCACUGGGAGGGCGAACUGGGCAAACUGGGAGCAUUGGGAAGGGGUUACUGGGCAAACUGGGAGCACUGGGGGGUUACUGGGAGCGCUGGGAGGGUGAACUGGGCAAACUGGGAGCACUGGGAGGGGCAAAUGGGGUAACUGGGAGCACUGGGGGGUUACUGGGAGCACUGGGAGGGGGUUACUGGGCAAACUGGGAGCACUGGGAGCACUGGGAGGGGGUUACUGGGCAAACUGGGCAAACUGGGAGCACUGGGAGGGGGUUACUGGGCAAACUGGGAGCACUGGGAGGGGGUUACUGGGCAAACUGGGAGCACUGGGAGCACUGGGAGGGGUUACUGGGCAUACUGGGAGCACUGGGAGGGGGUUACUGGGCAAACUGGGAGUACUGGGAGCACUGGGAGGGGGUUACUGGGCAUACUGGGAGCACUGGGAGGGGGUUACUGGGCAUACUGGGAGCACUGGGAGGGGGUUACUGGGCAAACUGGGAGUACUGGGAGCACUGGGAGGGGGUUACUGGGCAUACUGGGAGCACUGGGAGGGGGUUACUGGGCAAACUGGGAGCACUGGGAGGGGGUUACUGGGUAAACUGGGAGCACUGGGAGCAAUGGGAGGGGGUUACUGGUCAUACUGGGAGCACUGGGAGGGGUGACUGGGGCUGCCGGAAGCGGGAACUGGGAGCACUGGGAGCACUGGGAGGGGUCACUGGGCAAACUGGGAGCACUGGGAGGGGUUACUGGGCAAACUGGGAGCACUGGGAGGGGUCACUGGGCAAACUGGGAGCACUGGGAGCACUGGGAGCCAUACUGGGAAUACUGGGAGAGGGUUUGGGGUCAUACUGGGAGCACUGGUUUGUACUGGGAGAGGGUUUGGGCCAUACUGGUCCAUACUGGGAGCACUGGGAGCCAAACUGGGAAUACUGGGAGAGGGUUGGGGCCAUACUGGGAGCACUGGUUUGUACUGGGAGAGGGUUUGGGUCAUACUGGUCCAUACUGGGAGCACUGGGAGGGGUCACUGGUCCAUACUGGGAGCACUGGGAACCAUACUGGGAAUACUGGGAGCACUGGGAGGGGUCACUGGUUCAUACUGGGAACACUGGGAGCCAUACUGGGAUUACUGGUUUGUACUGGGAGCACUGGGAGGGGGUUUGGGGUCAAACUGGGAGCGGUUACUGGUCCAUACUGGGAGCGCUGGGAGCCAAACUGGGAAUACUGGGAGAGGGUUGGGGUCAUACUGGUCCAUACUGGGAGCACUGGGAGCCAAACUGGUCCAUACUGGGAGCACUGGGAGGGGUCACUGGUCCAUACUGGGAGCACUGGGAGCCAUACUGGUCCAUACUGGGAGCACUGGGAGCUGUACUGGGAAUACUGGUUUGUACUGGGAGCACUGGGAGGGGGUUUGGGGUCAAACUGGGAGCACUGGGAGCGGUUACUGGUCCAUACUGGGAGCACUGGGAGGGGUCACUGGACCAUACUGGGAGCACUGGGAGCCAUACUGGGAGCACUGGGAGAGGGUUUGGGUCAUACUGGUCCAUACUGGGAGCACUGGGAGCCAUACUGGGAGCACUGGGAGCCAUACUGGUCCAUACUGGGAGCACUGGGUGGGGUCACUGGUUUAUACUGGGAGCACUGGGAGCCAUACUGGGAAUACUGGUUUGUACUGGGAGCACUGGGAGGGGGUUUGGGGUCAAACUGGGAGCACUGGGAGCAGUUACUGGUUCAUACUGGGAGCACUGGGAGCGGUUACUGGUUCAUACUGGGAGCACUGGGAGCCAAACUGGUCCAUACUGGGAGCACUGGGAGGGGUCACUGGUCCAUACUGGGAGCACUGGGAGGGGUCACUGGUCCAUACUGGGAACACUGGGAUGGGGUUUGGGGUCAUACUGGGAGCACUGGUUUGUACUGGGAGAGGGUUUGGGCCAUACUGGUCCAUACUGGGAACACUGAGAGGGGUCACUGGUCCAUACUGGGAGCACUGGGAGCCAAACUGGUCCAUACUGGGAGCACUGGGAGCCAAACUGGUCCAUACUGGGAACACUGGGAUGGGGUUUGGGGCCAUACUGGGAGCACUGGUUUGUACUGGGAGAGGGUUUGGGCCAUACUGGUCCAUACUGGGAGCACUGGGAGGGGUUGUUGGGAUAUACUGGGAGAUUUUGUACUGGUCUGUACUGGUUUAUACUGGUUUAUACUGGUCUGUACUGGUGUGAACUGGUUUAUACUGGUCUAUACUGGUUUAUACUGGUUUAUACCAGUUCAUACUGGUCUGUACUGGUUUAUACUGGUUUAUACUGGUCCAUACUGGUUUAUACUGGUGUGAACUGGUUUAUACUGGUGUGAACUGGUUUAUACUGGUUUAUACUGGUCCAUACUGGUUUAUACCAGUUCAUACUGGUUUAUACUGGUCCAUACUGGUCCAUACUGGUCCAUACCGGUCCAUACUGGUUUAUACUGGUUCAUACUGGUCCGUACUGGUCCAUACUGGUCCAUACUGGUUUAUACUGGUCCAUACUGGUUUAAACUGGUCCAUACUGGUCCAUACUGGUUUAUACUGGUCCAUACUGGUCCAUACCAGUCCAUACUGGUUUAUACUGGUUCAUACUGGUCCGUACUGGUCCAUACUGGUCCAUACUGGUUUAUACCGGUCCAUACUGGUCCAUACUGGUUUAUCCUGGUCCAUACUGGUCCAUACUGGUUUAUACCGGUCCAUACUGGUCCAUACUGGUUUAUCCUGGUCCAUACUGGUCCAUACUGGUCCAUACUGGUUUAUACCAGCUCAUACUGGUCCAUACUGGUUUAUACUGGUCCAUACUGGUUUAUACUGGUUUAAACUGGUCCAUACUGGUCCAUACUGGUUUAUCCUGGUCCAUACUGGUCCAUACUGGUCCAUACUGGUCCGUACUGGUCCAUACUGGUCCAUACUGGUCCAUACUGGUUUAUACUGGUCCAUACUGGUCCAUACUGGUCCAUACUGGUUUAAACUGGUCCGUACUGGUCCCCCAGGCCAUGCCCGACCCCCGCCUGGACCGGGGCCGCUUUCCCUCCCUCCGCCUCACGGGGGCGCCGCGGGCCCCGCCCCCCUCGGGCCGCCGCGCGGGGCUGUGGCGCCGCCUGGCGGCCGCGGGCGGGAACUGCGGCUGCUGCGGCUGCUGCGGGCGGAGCGGCGGCGGCGGCGGAGAGUGGGAACCGAUCCCGGGAGAGACGCCGGGACGGAGAACGGCGCAGCCAGUGCGGCCAGGUAAGGGUUAAACACCGGGGGGAUUUUGGGGGGGCUCCGGUAACGGAGAGGUGCGGCCAUGUUU
rnacentral:lncRNA from 1 species